rnacentral:lncRNA from 1 species
GACGACCGAAUAAAAGCUGUAGUUGAACUCAAAGUGCAGAGGGGUCUUUUGCGAAAGAGGAGAGGGCGCGGGGCCGAGCCUUGGCGUUUUGUGCAUGCUAAAAGCUUUGCCUUGUGAUUUUCGCCUCAAGUUUUGUUUCCGAUGAGGAAGGAAGAGGUUAAUCACUCGAAGCUCUGUAACGAGAAACAACAAUUCAGCCGCUCAUGGUGAUCAGAGGUAAGCAUCGACUGCGAACUGAGACAUCAGUAGGCCAGCCUCCUUCAAUAACUUGGAGGACUGCGUGCGAAUUCUUGCUGUUUUCUUGAGUUUCUUUCCUGAAAAUGAACUCUCUAUCUUUAAUCAUGUCCACCGCGUGUGUUCUGUUACGUGAAUGUUGUUUUACUCGGAAGCAAUAUGUACGAUGAACUCGUCUGUUGCAUUGGAAACCCAUAGUACAAGUACAAGUACAAAUGGAACAUUUUUUUUUCUUUUCUGUUUGAUUUAGUUUGGUUAAAUGAUCCAUGAGUUUAUUCUUGAUCCUUAUUUGUGUGAAAAAUGGAUGUAUAACAAGUAGUUUAUUGAUUUCAAUCUUAGAAGUAGAGUAGAGUGUAUAGUUCAAAUUACUAUUGACUGUAACGAAUAUCUUGAUAUACUGGACAAGGCCUUACGUCAACUCAUUAGGGAUAACUCUACAAUUCGAGCCAGCAUUAUCGGUGAAUAGCGAUCAAGAUAGUUAGGUAAAAACUAGUCUUCGAGAUAAAAAGACGAGAUGUGGGCUAGUCCACCGAAUGCUCAACCUUAGAGAUGUACAUGCUACCAUGGUCUCUCGUUUCCAUCAUCAUUCAUGUCAUCUUUAUCACUCUCCCCCAAAUCUCAAAGUCUCUCUUUCGAGCAAACGUUUUUCGCAUUUCCCCAUAGAGUUUCCCCAAACCCCUUACCAAACACAACAGCCCCUUCUAAAGUCUAGCACGCAGGAGCUCCCAAAACAUUCGUUUGACUUUCAACAUUGUAGAACCAACCCGGCAAGAAGUUGACCAAGUGGACCCGAUAGCACAAACUCUACUACGGUAUUAUGACCAGUAACGGCCACUCCACCGUAUUGGCCCAAGCACAGCAUAGCCCAUCGCCUUCCAAGGGCACCCGUGCACGGCCUCUCUGUGUGAGGAGCCAUGCUAGGGCGGGCUAUGACCCAGUUGGGCCUAGGCCAUUCCCUUGGGCCCAAACAGGCUAGCCUAGAAAUUACCCCAAUUUUUUUCAAAGAUCUCAGUCGCAUUUAAAAAAUGAUUAAUAUAAAAAAAAAACCCAAAACUGGUACAUAUGCUAUAAAUCUAUACCAAACUAAUUUUUUGAUUGUCAAUAACUCCAAACUAGUGCAUUUAUAAAUAAAUUUGUGAAAAAUUUACUCUAUCUCAAUUUUCAUUAAAUUGGAUUAAUAUCACAAAAAACUAUCAAACGGGUACAUUUGUGAUAAAUAGAGGGUAAAACCCUAGAUUGGUACACUCAUCAAUUUCCACGUAUCAUCCGACUCAGUAAUUUCACAAUAAAAUUUAAUGAAAACUAGCAGGGGUAAAUUUGUCACGAAUGUAGUAAUUUAAAGUUUUUUAUGUUAAAAAAAUUAAGUUUUUAUAAAUUUGUCACAAGUGAACUAAUUUUGAUUUUUUUUUCAUAACAUUAACACUUUAAGAAAAACAAAAUGAUGUGACAGAAUGUGAUCGUUUGACCACACCAAAAAAAAAAGAACUCCUACAACUUUAAUUCCUCCUUCAUCAUUGCCUCCAUCCAAUUCUCAUUACUUAUCACUCUCUUACAAUUCCUAAAAAAAUCUUGAAUUCUACAUACGGCAUUUCAAAUUUCCGAGUACGCGACAGACCCAAUUCAGCUACAUUAACCAACUCAAUUCCCAGACCCAGACCUCCGACUACGAAGAGUAACCUACUCCAACCAAUACUGGGUAGUCUUUGUGUUGGAAGGUCCAAGAUUUGGUGAAUGUUCAGCAUCGAGGUCCUCCCCAGUGGCAGGAAGAAGGCCAUUUACAUGGCGUGGGGUGUGAAAUUACCUGCAAAAUCUAGUGGCUACACAGGCCACAUGAAGAGGUGCUAAGAGAAUUAUCUCCCUGAAAUGGCCAAGCCCAAGGGGAGGUCCGCCGUUGCAACAGGCCACGAUAGUAGUCCGUUCAAGUACAACAAUGCUCAGGCUCAAUGCCCAAAUCAACAGUAUAGACUCCAGGCCGAGGUAGCAUUUGGGUGCACCCAAGAUCCAGGGUUCGUUGAGUUCGUCAAGUGGCGUUCGGUCAAAUUACAAAUGCAUUACAAGGACCACGAAUACUGGGAAAUACAAGGGUCUACACAAGGAGAAAUGAGCAAAGUCGGUGCAGCUGCUAUCCAUAGAUAACUUUUAACUGUCAUUGACUUCAAACUUGGGGACUAACCUGAAGGACUGUGGUUAUUUUUGUGUGCUAGAAAGGAUCAUAUUGGUUACUACAUCACCGAACUUUGUUGUUUAAGCAUCCACAUCGCCACAAAUUACAAAAUAUUUGUGUGGAAAUUAUGAGAUCAGUGAAAGACUUUGGCAUUAGGGACAAAGCAUUUUCCAUUACUUAGGAUAAAGCCUAUGUAACAAUGUGAUUGCUAGGAACAUGGUCGCCCAGAUGUGGCUAGUUUGCAAUGGCCAAUUCUUCCGUGUACGCUGCAUAGUGCGGUGUUACCAAUCUUUGUGCACAACAUAGUCUUAGGCCCUGUUUGGUUCAGCUUUCCCAAGGGGCUUUGCGCCCCCAAAGCCCCUUGGGGAAAUUUUUUUUCAUUUGGUUCAGCUUUUCAAGUCUCCAUUGAGCAUUUGGAAUGCUGAAAGCCCAAAGCAGGUCCGGACCUGCUUUGGGCUUUAAGCAUUUUCAGAAUGCUAGUCUAGGGUUUAAUGAAUUUUUUCUUUCCAAUAUUGCCCUUAUUGAUAUUUAUGUUUUCUUUUUUUGCCCUCGAAAAAUAUUGUUCAUCGUCUUCUUCCUUCUUCCUCAUGAAGCUUAACCGGCGAGCGGCGCUCAACUGCGAGUGGCCAGAUCUGGC